GGUGUGGGAGGUAUUUGAUAAGUUAUUAAUGUGCUUAACUCUCUCGUCUUUCAUAAUUGUUUAUCAUGAUGACUUGAUUCUAAUUAAAAUUUGGGUGUCUUCAUAUGUGCACUAAAGUCUUUUAAGAAGCAUCUCAAUCCAUUUUCAUUUUUAAGCAAUCUAGUCUAUUUUGAAGUUUAGCAUCUUUUUCAAUCUUGAACAUGGAUGAUUUUUAUUUAUUGGAGUUGUUGCUUCAUAGCAUGAGCAUACUAAAAGAGCCAAGGAUGGGAGCAUUUAUUGUUGUAUUUAUUUUAUUUUGAUAAGAGAAGAAAUUUCAUUGAAAAAGAAAGAAAGAGGUAGACAAUGAAUCCUCCUAUCAGCAGACAAUUGCAAACAAGAAUUUUGAAAAAAAAAACUGAAAAGAUAAUUUCUUAUCAAGUUGGAUAACAUGCAAAGAAAUCCCCUUGAAAGCUAUGGAAUUAUAAGCUCACUUAGAAUCCAAAACAUCACCCUUUUUUCGCUAUAAAUUAAAGGA
rnacentral:misc_RNA from 1 species